GGGUCUGUAGCUCAGUUGGUUAGAGCAGGGGACUCAUAAUCCCUUGGUCGCUGGUUCGAGCCCAGCCAGACCCA
rnacentral:tRNA from 1 species